rnacentral:rRNA from 1 species
GACGAACGCUGGCGGCGUGCUUAACACAUGCAAGUCGAACGGAAAGGCCCUGCUUUUGUGGGGUGCUCGAGUGGCGAACGGGUGAGUAACACGUGAGUAACCUGCCCUUGACUUUGGGAUAACUUCAGGAAACUGGGGCUAAUACCGGAUAGGAGCUCCUGCUGCAUGGUGGGGGUUGGAAAGUUUCGGCGGUUGGGGAUGGACUCGCGGCUUAUCAGCUUGUUGGUGGGGUAGUGGCUUACCCAGGCUUUGACGGGUAGCCGGCCUGGGAGGGUGACCGGCCACAUGGGGACUGAGAUACGGCCCAGACGGCUACGGGAGGCAGCAGUGGGGAAUCUUGCCCAAUGGGCGGAAGCCUGAUGCAGCAACGCCGCGUGCGGGAUGACGGCUUGCGGGUUGUAAACCGCUUUCGCCUGUGACGAAGCGGGAGUGACGGUAAUGGGUAAAGAAGCACCGGCUAACUACGUG